AUAGUUUUCCGGGAAACUCCUCUUAAAGCGAAAGUCGUCAGUCUUUUUACGCACUUGUGUAUCAUCUACAGUGUUCUGCCCAUUACUGCUGUUGGAAGGAAGAGUGUGAACGCGGACGAAGAUGGCUUCUUCGUAUGGUGACAUGUCUCGAGCUUUCAGGAACCUUGACAUUCAGGACGGCUAUUCUGAAGACCCAGAAGGAUCAGCCUUGAAGUAUGCCACGUUAGAUUUGAGGACCAAACACCGAAGUGUCAGGCAAACCAGACUAAACGUGACCCGUGGACAGAUGAAGAUUUUCCCCCAAGCAGAGCAGAAACAAGCUGUGCUACCCAGAAAUACGUGUGGAAAAGACCGCAUAAAUUUCUCCAGAAUCCACAACUUUUUGUUCAUGGUACUGAACGGUAUGAUGUCAAACAAAAGGGUUUGGCACGUGCUGGUUCUUAUCCAUGCUGUCAAACCUUGCUGACAAGCCUCGACUUUUGAAAAAGGUGAUCAACACUGGAUCAUACGCUCAGACAGAAGGAAUCUGUCAUUGCAAGCUGUGGAAGUUUGGAGAAUGGGUGGACAUCUAUAUCGAUGACUCUUUUCCCCUGUAUCAAGGGAAGGCCGCCCCUGAGCUCUAUGGUGCUGCGUCUUGGACAGCCUCCGACGAACUGUGGGUUUCCCUGGUGGAGAAGGCUGUAGCGAAGAUGUACGGAUCAUACUGUGUGGUAAAUGAUGGUGGUUUGCCGAGCGAGGCCUAUCUGGCCCUAACAGGAGGAGUUGCUGAGACUGUUUUGCUUGAAUCUUACACAUCCCGUCCCCACGAUCUGUUCCAACGACUUCACAAGGCACUACAGACUGGCGCAAUGGUGACAUGUGGUAUUCUUAAACAUCAUA